GAAUGCAGAUGAGCAGAUGUGCUGGUAUAUUAAGAAUACUUAUAGGCUGAUUAAUUAUUUUUGUUCUUGUAGAAAUAAUUGCUUUUGAAAUGUUGUCACUUGUUUAUUUCUUUCACAUAUGAAGCAGUUAGGAGGUUGGUCUCUCUUUGUUGUAAACAAUUUAAUGUUUGAAUCUGGAUUUCAUGAAUAAUAUUCAUCUGGAAUUUUCUGUGCAUUAAUUCUCAAAAGUUGAUAUUUGUGCUUCUUCUUUUCAAGAACUGCAAUUCACUGUGACAUGUUUUCUUGCAGCAAUAUAUGUAGGAUACCCAUCA
rnacentral:misc_RNA from 1 species